UUAAUAUUUUCCUCUCCUUUCUUCUUGCAGGCGUUCGCUACUUUUCAGCUCCGUGCCUAACUAAAAUAGCGUGUCUCCAUUACAAGCAGCGGUGUGAAACUUUUGGAUAAUGUCCUUCGUGAUCCUUUGUUGACCCUACUCUGCCUCAUUCUCCUGGAAUGCCUCCCUACCUCACAUUACCUCCUGGGGAUCUAUCCACCGCAAAUAAACAUUUUCUUCCUUUCAUCCUUUCUUUCUCCUUUUUUCCCUGCCCAUGACCUGGAGACUUGAUGCUUCCAAAUAAGGCAUUUGACAUUAUGCUGAAUUCCAUCUCUCAGCAGUUGCCUAUCGUCAAGCUGUAGAAGUUGGCGGUGUUUGUAAGUGUCCGGGUGAUGGAGAGGGCUGAUAUUUGCAGUUGUAGUACACCACAGUAAUCCCCUCACAUUCAUUGUAAACUUUUUUCAGUUUGUUUUGUUUUUGUGUUUGCCAUGCUAAUGGAUGAAAUGUCUUCUCUCACACUUCUCAGUUAAAACAGAUUGGUGGGUUAAGAAAGACAAACUUUUAGGCCAGCCUGACCCAGAAUGACAUUUCUCGCUCUGUGAAAAACAUCUGAGGGAUGAAAUAAAACAGUCUAGACAGAGGCCGGAGACAGGGCUGAGAAGAUGCAAGAGGCGAUAUGCGCUGUAUGGUUUGUAAAACAUCUAUCAGGGUCAUUUGAGGUGAAAAACUCUCCAUAGUUAGCCAAAGGAGAACCCAGCUGACCCUUUUCAUCAAGCACAUGACCCUCGAUGCAGAUGUCAGCAUGGACUUUUCCUGCCCUCGCAAAUCUCUCUUCUCCACUCACAUGGGCCCAUGUGCAAACAGCAGAUCUGUUCAUCACGCCACCACUCCUCCUGGCCCCUUCUUUCUCUUGGACUCUCUGAACCGCCUGAGCUGAGAACUAGGUCACGGAGAGGGAAUCUGGCCUUGAAAGCACACAUAUGCUUGCUACAAAGCUGCAGUUCCACAGCGGCGGUUGUUUUUGAAGAGAAGCUGGUUUAAGGAUGUGAGAGAUGCUCAGAGAACUCAGGGCUGAUGGGCCACACUGUCCACACCCUGCCGCCUGGUCUGAGUGGCCUUCCCUCACAAUGAGAGUAAGCACAGCUGCACAAGCUGGCCCAACGCCAACCAGAGCCUGGGUACGCCAGCGCUCAGAGUACUGCAUAGUGUCUGUGUCUCAAGAGAAGAGGUUUUCACUGCGUCAAGAGAUAGUAUUUAAGUAGUAAGAUUUUUCAAAACAUUCACUUAUUCCUUUGACUGUAACCCUAUAACUCAGGUUAUAAAUUUAUGAUGAUGAGCAUCAAGUAUGGUUUGAGCAUUUGCCAUUGCACCAAAAGCUGAGGAAUUGGAAUUGCAUUUGGCUGGCUUUUUAUAUUAUUAUUCAUUAUUGGGAAUCUAAUGAUGCAUACUCAUAACCAGCAAAGAACAUUCAUUACGAAAGAAUUGAGUAAGUAGAGUAAAAAAUAUCAUGGAACUGAGGUGUCCUCUGAUGGGUAAUCCACUUCUCCCCAUCAGCAUACAGAUGCGCAUACUGUUGUUGUUCCUUUUGGAUUUUCUUUCCCCCAGACAUUUGAAGAAACCAAUCAGGAAGGCAGCAAUGUGCAACCCAAGGCAAAUGAGGAACAUGGCCUCCCCAGACACACAAUUCCAAGAACCAAAGCAGCAGGGCGCAUGCACAGGACUUGUCUUCCUCUGAGAUGACCCCAACUCGUGUAGCGGGCCAAGCGUCCAACUGACUGCCAGAGGCAAACUUCAGGCCCCCUUCAACUUAUCCUGGUUAUUUAUUUUUCCCUCAAACAAUUCAGUUGGCCCCAUGCACAAGUAGAGGAAAUCAGUGAAUGCUUUUCUUAGUGCAUGUGUGUGAGUGUGUGUGUGUGUGUGUGUGUGUGUGUGUGUGUGUGUGUGUGUGUGUGUGUGUGUGUGUGUGUGUGUGUGUGUGUGUGCAUAAAA